UAAUAUAUCGGAACGUGCCCAGUCGUGGGGGAUAACGUAGUGAAAAUUACGCUAAUACCGCAUACGAUCUAAGGAUGAAAGCGGGGGAUCGCAAGACCUCGCGCGAUUGGAGCGGCCGAUAUCAGAUUAGGUAGUUGGUGAGGUAAAGGCUCACCAAGCCAACGAUCUGUAGCUGGUCUGAGAGGACGACCAGCCACACUGGAACUGAGACACGGUCCAGACUCCUACGGGAGGCAGCAGUGGGGAAUUUUGGACAAUGGACGCAAGUCUGAUCCAGCCAUUCCGCGUGCAGGACGAAGGCCUUCGGGUUGUAAACUGCUUUUGUACAGAACGAAAAGGCUUCUAUUAAUACUAGGGGCUCAUGACGGUACUGUAAGAAUAAGCACCGGCUAACUACGUGCCAGCAGCCGCGGUAAUACGUAGGGUGCAAGCGUUAAUCGGAAUUACUGGGCGUAAAGCGUGCGCAGGCGGUUUUAUAAGACAGAUGUGAAAUCCCCGGGCUCAACCUGGGAACUGCAUUUGUGACUGUAUAGCUGGAGUGCGGCAGAGGGGGAUGGAAUUCCGCGUGUAGCAGUGAAAUGCGUAGAUAUGCGGAGGAACACCGAUGGCGAAGGCAAUCCCCUGGGCCUGCACUGACGCUCAUGCACGAAAGCGUGGGGACCAAACAGGAUUAGAUACCCUGGUAGUCCACGCCCUAAACGAUGUCAAACUGGGUUGUUGGGGUCCUUCACUGACUCAGUAAACGAAACUUAACGCGUGAAUUUGACCGCCUGGGGAGUACCGGCCGCAAGUUGAAACUCCAAAGGAAUUGACCGG
rnacentral:rRNA from 1 species